UCUAUAUAAAGCACUCGAGCAAAAUCCAACCCCAUCGUUUCGACGUAUGCAUUGGCAAUAGCGCUCUGCAAAUGCUACUCGUACUUCAAUAGGAUUUCGACUAGAUUGUCGCAUGGAAGAAAUUGGUAACUAAUAUCUUUGUUGAAUUCUAAACCUCUAUUGCGAUGACCGAGUAUGUUUCUUUCUCUUCUACACAAUUUCCUGAUCCAUACUGUUUUUCUCUCUCACCCUAGAUUUUUGCUUCUUUGUUGUUCUUUUUCGUGAUUCUUCGUUGCUUCGCUUCGUUUCUUCAUGUUCGCAGGUUCUCAACUUUAUGAUAUAUACUGUAAAUCAAUUGCAGCUAGCCUGACCUUGGGUUUCCAUUUAAUCGAAGGAAUAUCAUCAUGGUCCAAUCGUUAGGUUAAAAUUUUGAGUAAAUUUUAAAAAUCGAAUUUCAUUUUUAUGUUUCCUUAUAAAAGUAAAUCAAUUGCAGCUAGCCUGACCUUGGGUUUCCAUUUAAUCGAAGGAAUAUCAUCAUGGCCCAAUCGUUUAAAGGUUAAAAUUUUAGGGAUGAUGUUGCUGUGAUUAAUUUCACUCUUCAAAGAAUGUAAUUUCAAAGAGCGGCAUCCAUUAAGAAGAAUAUCCUUUCUACUGAUGGUCAUUCAUAGUCAUAGAGUUCCCAAGGCCAGGGUUGAUAAUUCAGUGUAUAUGGUUAAACUAAAUAUAUAUCUUAUUAUCAAUGCAUCCCAUGUUCUGAUAAGAAGGCUCCAUUGUCUUAUUAUAUGGUUAUUAAAUAAUUAAGUGUAUAUGGUUGAACUAAAUAUAUAUCUUAAAUAGUGUAUAUGUUUAAACUAAAUAUAAUAUAUAUCUUAUUAUCAUGCAUGCAGUUACCAAUAAAUUUAACUAGCCAGGAUUCCCAGGAUUGAUGUUCAUCUUAAGUUUUCUUUGAAUCAAGAAAAAUAGCUGAGUUGGGGUGUUUUAUAAAGAAAUCAUUGCUCGAAAAUGGGUCUUGAAAUGAAUGUGGUUUGAAAGGUAGUAAAGAAUUUUGGAUGCUUGAAGACUACUGAGAGUAACUCCAAAAUUAUAGUUAAGUUUUGAUUGUUUGGAUGCUUCUGAAUUAAGUUGUUGUUUGGUUACUUCUAGAAUAAACUCAACUUGAAAUUUAACAUCAAAUUAGCUAGAGUUGUUUCCUUAAACCAUUUAAGGCUGGACUCGCAUCGUAUGAGGCAUUUUUCUUUAAUACUAGGAGGUACAUUUAAGAUUUGUGCUUUCUUAUAUUAUUUUUAUUACAUCGGUCUUUGAUAUGCAUUCCAAAUUAGACGCAACACUAUCAAAAUGUAUAACUGCAGAUGGAGAAUAUGACGUUUAACUGCAGAGGUAGAAAAUGACGUCCCUAGAUGAACUUGGUUAGCAUUUGUACAUCUAAGGUUCACGUCAUUGUAAAACAUAUCAUGUGAGAAAUGUGUCAAUGCUAACCAAUUCAAUCUAGGAAACUAAAAAUACUAUUAUUCCAGUUUGUUAUGUUGCUCGGGUAGCUAGCUUCAAGUCAAGGUAAACAUAGUCAUGUUGUUUGUAUAUGGUAGUCAUGCAUGUAGGUCUGAUGCUAUUGAAGAUUUGGUCUCACCAUUUGAUGCAUAGAUAUCAUAUCUCUUAUCAAACUAAGAGGAAUUCAUAUCUGUAUGACUUGAUUUGUGAUUUUUUGUAGUGGAGAUGCGGAAGUCAUUGAGGAUAUCGGUAAAUAAACCGAAAAUGAUGGAUUCAUUUUCCUGUUCAUAUAAGCACUCGGCAUUUUUUUAAAACUUUAAGGUAAACUUUGAAUUUAUUUCUACCGAAUUGCAAUGGGGAUGUUUAUAGACUUGUAAUGCCUUCAUAUGUUAUGUUCAUUAUACUCCAAAUUUCAGGGCUUUUCACCUGAGGUAGUAACUGGAAAACCUAUUGUAAGUAUCUUUUCAUCAGAAAUAACAAAAUUUAUACUUUGUCAUUAUUUAGCGCAACUUUGAUAAGUGCCCGUAGGAAAUUUUCUUAAAUCACCAUUGGUAGGACUAGCACAAUGCAUAAUUUAUGCAUUGGUAAAACCUACAUCUGAUAUGCAUACAAUUGCAGAUGUGUAUAUAAGGACGAGGUCUAUCAACACUCAAACAAACAUUCUUUGUGAGUACUUCAGAGAACAACUAGGAUUUUUCUUGGAAUUAAGUACAUACAUAAUGCAUCUCUUAAAUUUUAAACCACUUAAGAUUACAAUACUUCUAUACUGAAUCUAAGGCAAUGGUUUAUACACAAUUCAAAUAGAGAAAGUUCCUUUAGGUGCUCUGUGAUUAAUGUAGAAGGCAGUUUGAGGCUUUAUUUUUUGGUUAUAUAUACUUGCUAUAAAUGAAUAUGAUGUUAGUACCCUUAGCUUGACAGUGGAUGCACAAGUUCAAAAUGUUUUUUUUUUCAACGAAAGAAGGGUGUUCUUGCUUAUUUUUAUCAGGAUCCGGCAGUACCCUUAGCUUGACAUUGGAUGCACAGGUUCAAAAUGCAUUUUUUUUUAGCUAAUAUUAAUAAGAUUUUUAUUAAAGGGAGAGCAAAAAGAGAUCCGAGGAGAGCAAAAACUGUAGUCUACUCAUUAACUAGGAAAGAUUGCGAGCCGGACUUAAUUACCCUGCGAUCACACAAAUUUCUCACACACAUCGAGCAUCACCUCUCAUCGUCUUCUCAAAAAUCCUAACAUGUAAAUAACACCAUUACUGAAAACCAGUUCAAAAUAGAAUAUCCUGCAAAUUAAUCUACGUAAAAAUAUUAGUCGUGAUAGUUGUCGAUUUAAGGAUUGCUAGUGCACAAACAAUCAUAAUCAAUUUUCUAGUAUUUGCCAUUGUUAAGAAAAUUACUGUCCAUGGUAUGAUGAGCAUUUAUCUUUUUUUCGUUUGGUAGUGGAAUUCAGCCGGAGCUCACAAGCACGUUCCUACCAACCCAUUUGUACAUGUAUCAUCUGGUGAUAUAUGAAUUCUCUAUCUGUUAACACGGGUUAUUCAUUUGUUUUUGGAUGCUUUUGUGGAUUUAAUUUCUAUAUGCUUGUCAACAGUUUUGUCUUACUUGUUAUCACAUUGCCAAGACCCAAAUUCCCCUCCAUUAAUGGAAGUUUAAGUUGUCGUAACUGUGGUUAGCUAGGGUUGGGAAGAAGAACAAGACGCAGAAGAUUAGGUUUCAUUUCGAUGAUGAAUCGGUAGGCAUGUGAACAAUUCAUGUGGUUAGAAAGGGUAUUUUGGUCCGAGUCGAUGAUAUAUAUAUAACCGGCCGUGACUGGUGAGUCGACUACGAUUUUUGCUCUCCUCAGAUCUCUUUUUGCUCUCCCUUUAACAAAAAUCAUUAAUAAUGGCGACAAAAGGGCAUUCUUGCUUAUUUGUAUCAGGAUCCAACAAUCUUGAUGUAUCUUAAUUCAUAUACUUGAGUUGAUUAUUAAAUUCUUGUGAUAAUUUUCAAAAGAAAAAGCUUCAACUAAAUCUCAUGUUAAGCAUAAUGCAUUUUAACAGUCGCAUCAAAUUAAAUUGUAACAAUGUAGCCUUGAACUUCAUGGUAUUCAUGUUUA